UACGUAGGGUCCAAGCGUUAUCCGGAAUUACUGGGCGUAAAGCGUGUGUAGGCGGGAGUUUAAGUGCAAUGCGAAAUCUUGUGGCUCAACCAUAUAGACUGUAUUGCAUACUGGACACCUUGAGGAUGGCAGAGGCAAGUGGAACUUGUAGUGUAGCGGUGAAAUGCUUAGAUAUGACACAGAACACCGAUUGCGUAGGCAGCUCACUAAACUGUAACUGACGCUGAGGCACGAAAGCGUGGGGAGCAAACAGG
rnacentral:rRNA from 1 species